rnacentral:tmRNA from 1 species
GGGGCUGCAAUGGUUUCGACGGGGCAUGAGGAGGGUGACUGAAGCCUGCUCGGUCAGAGCGAACCCGUAACAGCGAACAACAUCGUUCGUUUCUCCCGUCAAGCCGCCCCUGUGGCUGCCUGACACUCUUAACGGAGACGGGGUGAGGUCAGCCUUGUCACCCAAAUGACCCAUGGGG